GCAGGGAGCGGUCCACGCUGCGCAGCCAGAGCACGGGGUCCGUUGGGGACAAGUGCUUCAGGCGGUAGCACCGGCGGCAGAGAAACUCACCCAGGCAGCGCAGCAGCUCACUAGUGGACGCCUGGACGAUGACCCGUUUGGGUGUUCCUGCGGAGGUGAUGGCAGGGUGCGGGGCCUUCUUGACAGAAGAGGAGACCCCAGUCUGGGAGCCAGAAAGCUGGCUGGCUGGGGGUGCGGGCGGCUGGGCCGGCGGGGGCUGGGCGAACGUGGACAGGUUGGCACACGACAGCGACUUCUUCAGGUUCUCAUUGUUGAGGUGCGCGAUGUUGCUCUGGUAGCUGCUGUUGGGCUGCGCCUUCUUGGAGUUCUUCUUCUUCGCUGACACCGCCACGAUCCUCUUCCAAGGCAGUACCGAGAUGAUGGAGUGCCGCUUCAGGUUCUUGUCCUUGGCGUUCUUGCUGUUCUGCACGGCCGUGUAGUGGCCCACGGUGGCCGCGCCAUCCUCAAACAGUGUGGCCUUUCGAUAGCUGGGGGACAGGGACAGCACCGUGCCCAUGGUGCCACUGCGCGCCCGGCAGGGGCCGGCACCCCUGCGCGCCCAGCCUGCCGGCCGGAGGGAGAAAAAGGCUUACCAAGCCUGUAGCGGCCG
rnacentral:lncRNA from 1 species